GUAGGUGGCAAGCGUUGUCCGGGAAUUAUUGGGGCGUAAAGCGCGCGCAGGUGGUUCUUUAAGUCUGAUGUGAAAGCCCCCCGGGCUCAACCGGGGGAGGGUCAUUGGAAACUGGGGAACUUGAGUGCAGGAGAGGAAAGUGGAAUUCCACGUGUAGCGGUGAAAUGCGUAGAUAUGUGGAUGAACACCAGUGGCGAAGGCGACUUUCUGGCCUGUAACUGACACUGAGGCGCGAAAGCGUGGGGAGCAAACAGGAUUAGAUACCCUGGUAGUCCACGCCGUAAACGAUGAGUGCUAAGUGUUGGGGGGUUUCCGCCCCUCAGUGCUGCAGCUAACGCAUUAAGCACUCCGCCUGGGGAGUACGGUCGCAAAGACUG
rnacentral:rRNA from 1 species